rnacentral:lncRNA from 1 species
AAACAGGGUAACUGUUGCCUGGGGUUACAUCAAUAAACUUCAGUAAAAUUGUGGUUCUGAUCACCAGGAGGACAAGGGAUGGGUGUUAGGUUGACACUUGCUCAGGUUCUCUAGAAGCAGAGCCAAAGAUGGAGAUUCUUGGGCCAGCCCUGACAGCUUGGGGGUUAAAGUUCAGCACGCUCUGCUUCAGUGGCCUGGGUUCAGUUCCCGGGUGUAGACCUACCACUUGUCUGUGAGUAGUUACUGGAGAAUCCGUGAAGAAGUGAAGGAAUCAGGAUGCGGCCAGCAACAUGUGAUUCCAUCAGAAGUCCAGCCUCCGCCUCAUUCUGAGGACCAUGUUCUCUGACACCCGUCCCAUCCAGAGGCAGGUCCCCACAGGGCGAAGCCCACAGAGAGGGGAGCUGCUCUGUAAAGUUCAUCCGUCUCCCCACAGUCUUCUUACCUCACAGGGCAGGGCUCAGGAUCCCGCAGGAGGUCCUGUGCCAGUCGCCAUGGUAACACACAGUCUCGGUCAGGCUUCCUACUGAUUAAACAGGCUACAGGGAUGUUCAAGAGAGUGCCCCAGAACAUACACAAGCAUCAGAGCGAGAAAGGACCCACCCAAUACUCUGAGGUUUGAAGGAAAACUAAGUUUGGGAUUUUCCUCCUUUCCUGACCUCUCAUUUCUAGUUUCCUCCCUUAAUUUUCAGCACAUGGCACCGAUGGUCCGUCGAAAACCAUGAGUUGAUGGUGGCAGUCCUUAUAUAGCCAAGUAUGCAUAAGCUUGGGGCUUGGUCCCACACAAAUGUCCACAAGGCUGUCAUCAUUUCAGAUAGUAACCAAGAAAUGGGACUGACCUGGCCCUUCAGAAAAAGUCAUACCUGGCCACCAUCUUUCUCAUUUCUAGCUGUUUAUGUCACUGAUCUCUCUCCAAGUCAUUCAGACUUUCUAAAUACCCAUCCAGCUCCCCUGUGCCACUCCCAUCCCCCAGGUCAUGUGUAAGGCCUUCUCCAAAUGUUCAGCACCUGCUCAGAUAAACUGCUAACCCACCCACAGUUACAACUGGCCUUUGACUUUGUUCUUUGCAUGAGCAGGUUAGCACAUCGCUGCAUCCUCUCUUCAACGCGUUAAGCAGACUUUGUAAACAAAGAUGGUCCCGAUUCCUAAUCCACACGAACAUCAGGGUGUAGUCUCAGCGGAAGACGGAUCCAAGUUCUCCUGUCUCUGGCCCUCGUUGGGCCUCCCACGCCCAUUUACAGAAUCAGUGACUUCGUCCAGCAGGGAGCAGUCCUGGAA